ensembl:lncRNA
CCUGACUGAAGGCUUCCAACUGCAAGGCUGACUGAAAACCUGCCCCUAAACAAACCCAAGAAGUUUAAUAGCUACUGUGGAGACUGCAAUUGGAUGCAAAUUUUGGGUCUGGCUUUUCAGAGAUGACACAGCAAGCCCCAGGUCAGAUGUAUGCCCAGUUCACAUCGGUCAGGAGAAGAGUGGGAGAGGAAAUUGUUAUCACAAUUGCAAAAGCCUGGCAGAAAAAUUAUUACAGCAUGAUCAAGUUCCAUCAUCAAGUGAAAAGGCAAAACGCUGCACUAGCAAUGUACCCUGUGGAGUGGCUGCAAAUACACAACAUGCCCAAAGCUGGUUUGUGAACAAAAACAUAUUCUCACAUUACUCUCUGUCCUAUUUGCUUUAACUGCAUUUCCUGCAUUUUCACUGCUUUGUUACUUUUGCAUGACUGAGGAAGGCAAACAGUAGCAUAACCCGUACCUUGGCAGUGAUUUGGUAGCUGCAGAACUUCCUUGUACAGCAGUACAGCAUUUGCUUCAUUUAUUAAGUCAUUAGAGAACUCUUACGACGUUAUAACGGCACCUGCCUAAGGUAUUGUUUGUCUAAAUGUUGCACUGGGGGCCAGGGAACACACGACUGCCUCUGAACGUCAUAACCAGCCUGAAACUCCUGAUAACUACACUUUCCUCCCUCUCUCCAGCCUUUGAGUAAAAAAUAUUUGUAUUCAGAUGGUAUCUGUUUAAAUAUUUGUAUACCAGGUCUGGCCACGUACCUCAGCACUUCCAGCACAUUGGUAUCUAUACGUGCUGAAUGAUUCCAAAG